rnacentral:rRNA from 1 species
GUAGGUGGCAAGCGUUGUCCGGAAUUAUUGGGGCGUAAAGCGCGCGCAGGCGGUUUCUUAAGUCUGAUGUGAAAGCCCACGGGCUCAACCGUGGAGGGUCAUUGGAAACUGGGGAACUUGAGUGCAGAAGAGGAAAGUGGAAUUCCACGUGUAGCGGUGAAAUGCGUAGAGAUGUGGAGGAACACCAGUGGCGAAGGCGACUUUCUGGUCUGUAACUGACGCUGAGGCGCGAAAGCGUGGGGAGCAAACAGGAUUAGAUACCCUGGUAGUCCACGCCGUAAACGAUGAGUGCUAAGUGUUAGAGGGUUUCCGCCCUUUAGUGCUGCAGCUAACGCAUUAAGCACUCCGCCUGGGGAGUACGGUCGCAAGACUG